AUUGAACGCUGGCGGCAUGCCUUACACAUGCAAGUCGAACGGCAGCACGGGAGCAAUCCUGGUGGCGAGUGGCGAACGGGUGAGUAAUAUAUCGGAACGUGCCCAGUAGUGGGGGAUAACUGCUCGAAAGAGCAGCUAAUACCGCAUACGACCUGAGGGUGAAAGGGGGGGAUCGCAAGACCUCUCGCUAUUGGAGCGGCCGAUAUCAGAUUAGCUAGUUGGUGGGGUAAAGGCCUACCAAGGCAACGAUCUGUAGUUGGUCUGAGAGGACGACCAGCCACACUGGGACUGGAACACGGCCCAGACUCCUACGGGAGGCAGCAGUGGGGAAUUUUGGACAAUGGGCGCAAGCCUGAUCCAGCAAUGCCGCGUGCAGGAAGAAGGCCUUCGGGUUGUAAACUGCUUUUGUCAGGGAAGAAAUCCUCUAGGUUAAUACCCUUGGGGGGAUGACGGUACCUGAAGAAUAAGCACCGGCUAACUACGUGCCAGCAGCCGCGGUAAAAC
rnacentral:rRNA from 1 species